rnacentral:rRNA from 1 species
AUGCAGUGCAAACUAGGGCACUUGGUCUGCUCGCCCUGCCGCGACAAGCUCCCGGGGAAGAAGAAGAAGGCCUGCAGCGUGUGCUCUAAGGCCGUCUCCAGACGAUGCCAUGCCAUGGAGCGCGUCGUCGAAUCCAUCGUCGUGCCGUGCUCCAACGCCGCGCACGGGUGCACCGCCAUGAUGGCCAGCGGCGAGAAGGCGGAGCGCGAGGAGGCUGUUGGGUGUCUAGCCCUAGCCCUCCCUCUCACCGGAACUCUCUCUCUCUCUAUACUCUCUCUAGAACGAUCAGAGAAAGAAGAAAGGAGAGAGACACAAGACACGAUGGUUCCGGCGCACGAACGCCUGCCGCACGAACGGCGUCUUCCUCGAGCACGAACUCGAGCCCCACACAAACAACAGUACGCGGGGUGGAGCUUUAUACACGGGCGCGCCCACACGACGCCGCGCUCCCCACUCCUCCACGCCCGCACGCUCCGCACGCCUUGGCUCACGCACCCGUCGCGCACCAACGCGAUCAACGCGGCCGGGCUCCAGCAGAACGCCGCGGUCACCCCCGCCACUAUCGCCAACUACCCACGCAACAGCGCGAGCCGACGCCCACUGCCGCUGCAGCAGCCCGCAGUCCCGUGCACCGUCGCGCCGCGUUUCCGUGCCCCCACGGUUGUCGCGCCGAGCCGCCGCGACUUCUGCGCCACCACACAGCUCCUCCGCGACCUCCUCGUCUCCGCGACUGCCGUGCUCUUCGCGUGCACGACAUCAGUCCGCACCGCCGUGGAGUCGCCGCGCGUCGCGGUCGCCACGCGCUCGCCGCGCGCUGCAACCUCCAUGCCCGACGCGCUCGCCGCGCGCGCCACCGCGCGCCACGGCCGCAAACCUGUAGCUCUGAUGCUAAGUGUUGGGUACCAAGGUCAGACUAUGCCUAAAUAUGGGCUCGACGCGGCCACGGACCGGACUGGCACGCCCGACACCGGUCACCUCGGCGGGGACAUGGCUUAUGCGCCAACAGAGGCGUGCCCUUACGCGCCAUGCUUCUGCCCGGAGCAAGGCUGCGGCUUCGCUGGCACGACGGAGGCGCUCCUGGACCACUUCGCCGCCGAGCACGAGUGGCCGGUCACGGCGUUCAAAUACUUCGAGCCGUUCGACGUGCCCGUGAAGGCCGGCAUGCACGUCCUCCACGGCAGCAAAGAAUACGAAGAAGACCAAGACGACGACAGCGACCUCUUCCUGCUCCACGUGGGGCCCCCGGACACCACGGUGAAAGUGGUCUCACUGGUCCGCGUCCAGGCGCACGCGCCGGAGUACGAGAUCGGGUGCAUCGCGAGCUUCUCCUGGUUCAGGGGCCAGACCCAGGUCGCGACGCUGGACACGAUCCUAACCUCGUCGCUCUCUAGCGGGUUGCCCGACUGCGGCUUCUGCAUCGUACCCGAGGCUCCACCCGGGGGCGACGAGCUUGUCUUCCUCAGUCUCACCAUCGGUGUGGAUGUCGAGACGAUGGAGGAUGACGACGACCAGGAGGAGGCGGAUGACGAGGAGGAGUACAGCGAAUGGAUGCGCAGGAUGGCCUGGGUAGAGGUACCUGCCAACGGUGAUGAUGAGGAUGAUGAGGCGGAUGGUCACAAUGGUGAUUGA